AGUUCCGAGGAGCGUUGCAACCUUCAGCAAGAAGGCCAGGCUCGGAUCUCUACAUUGCAACCGCGCUCACCUGCA
rnacentral:ncRNA from 2 species